UACGUAGGCAGCAAGCGUUGUUCGGAAUUACUGGGCGUAAAGAGUGUGUAGGCGGUGCUCUAAGUCUGUCGUGAAAUCUCCCGGCUUAACUGGGAGGGUGCGGCGGAAACUGGAAUGCUAGAGGGUGGGAGAGGAAAGCGGAAUUCCUGGUGUAGCGGUGAAAUGCGCAGAUAUCUGGAGGAACACCGGUGGCGAAGGCGGCAUCCUGGACCAACACUGACGCUGAGGAGCGAAAGCCAGGGGAGCAAACGGG
rnacentral:rRNA from 1 species